UGCAGGACCAAGAUGAGCCCU
rnacentral:miRNA from 5 species